AUUAGGAUUGCCACCGUCGUCGGUUGAGUAAUGAUGCGGGCUCUCCUCUUACUUUACCCGAUAUUUAAAAAGAUCCAGUUCGAUCGUCUCGUCCGGGUAAGACAGAUUAACGCACGGAUCGCCUCGAGCUUUCCUCGUACGAAAUAUUAGCCACCGGAAAUUUUUAGACCACCCUCCCUACCCCCAGUUUGACGAUGAACUGACAGCUCCUCGCGUGUACCCCACGUCUUCAAACAGGACCCGAGGCUCCAUCAGCUGUCCCCCUAAAUCGUAUAAUAUACGAAUCCCAGCUUGUAAACGCCACAUAUCGCCGUCGCCGCAUCGUUUGAAAUCAAGUUCCAAACGAUAUUGUACGAUGGUCAAAGGUAAAACGCCGAUAUAUUCGCUCCUAAUUUAAAUCGCACAGGUGCGACCUGGCCGGAGUAACCGUACCUUGAAAUCCGAUCGCCUGAUCACUGUGAAUUAUAUUUGAAAUAUUUCGUGAGGAUGGAAGACUUCCGGCGGAGGUUGAGACGUAGGAAAUGAAACAUCGAAAGACCCUGUUAUGGAAGAUAACGAUGAAGCGUUAUUCUCAAUUUUCUCUUUCGAACGAAUCAUAAUAUCAUCGCUGAAUCCCUGCCAUAUUCUGGUGACGCGUUGAAGCUUUUGACGCGUCAAAUAUACGGCAGACGUAGUAGUACCCCUAGAAUUACACACGUUGUGCACUACAGACGAGGGUCUCCAAGGUGGAACAGAUUUAGAGCCAGCAAAACUAGACCUGUUCUGCUUGAUGCCAACUUUGCGUUGUCAGCCACAACACGAGCGAAUCGUUCGCACUACGGCAAAGCUAGACUAUAUUUGGGACGUUGAGCCACUAGAAUCAGCUGCCGUGCAGACGCGAUGAUGUCGACGCUGACGUUCGUCCCACCAGCGCGACGAAAUCUGCACAUAUUUGAAUGGUCAUUGCGUUUGGUAUAAUACGGCGUUACUUAACUGGCCCAGUUAUCCCAGUUGGCCUACAGGUCGGAUGGGUCAGACCCAUCAUCCGAGUAUGUAUUUUUAGUGAAACCGAUACGAACUACAUCGCAAAUUGUCCCCCUACUACUUUCAAUUCGAAGGUAAUCAAGGUGGAAGAGAUAAUCUAGAAAUCUAUUUAUAUUAUGCUCAAUGCACGUAACACGUGCCUCGCGGAUCACCCAUACUUACAAAAUUUUACUUGGCAGUUCGGCCGAUCCAAAGUCAAGAUAUUCUACGUAUUCACCUAAAUGCAACGAAAGUAUACCCGAGAAAAAGUGCAUAUGGUCGCACUUCCUCGUAGCGUAGGUAUAAUGUAUCGUAAUUUUUCUUGAAAAUCCAUUCAUUUCACUAUCAAAUUUUUAUUGGAAUCACGUCGAUUCGCGAGACUUGUAUGGUUAUUUGUUAUAUUUUUCUUACACCGGUAAACACCCAAUUACGUACCCGUAGAUAACGCGAUACGCGCUGUACCUAUCUAUAGUGCGGUGUCGAGAAAAAUAACAAUAUACGUUGAAAAAAUAAAAAUAGAUUAAAUAUUUCGAAAUGCAACUUAAUGCAUGCAAUGUCUGGAUUCCGGCCAGAACCAUCAUUUUUAGUGUUCGGAAAUGAGUUUUAGUCCCAAGCUACUUGUGUGUACCUAAGAUCCUAUCCUAUACGUAUGUGCUUCGAACGGGUAAGACCUAAACAGCGAGUCGAAAACGAAAUAAUCAGGGGUUCGAGGGUCCGUGAUUGAUGUGCAAUUUUGUUUGAAGAAAGUAACGAUCGCUGCCUCGCGAUUUCUGGUUUUUUAAUGAUCAAUAAUCAAUCGAUCAUUCCUCCGAUAAUUUCGACGACCAUAUACAAAAGACGAGCGACGACACCAGCUAUACAGCGAUCAUCCGGCGAUGAGCGUUACUGUUGAUUCUGGCGACGAUCCAUGCCCACCGCUAGCUCCCGGUAACGGGGUAUAACGGCGUAAGCAGAAUCAUCGGCCACGACGACGUCGGAUACCACCUCGGAAAUGGUCACGGGCCGCUUAAUACGACUCAAAACCUCUGGAGUUUGUCAAAUUUAUUACCAGCCGUUAACCACAGCUACUGUUUACUCCUGUCGUCAGAGUUGUUCGCCCGAUUGGAGGGGUUGAAUCGCAGAUUCUCUGCUCUUAGCUUGGGGAUUAUUAUUCGCCUGAUUUUCACUACCGCGCAAAACAAACGUGACGAACAAUUAACGGCCGAGUUCAGGUACGUUACACGACGUGGACGCGCUCGCGGACAGGAAAAGUUUGGAGCAAGUAACAAAUUUUUUUUCACACCCGAUCGAAUAUCGGUAAAACGGAAGAGAAAAAUUGAUAGGGCGCCGUUGCUCUGGUGUGAACCCAAAACCCGCAAAUGUGUUCAC